rnacentral:rRNA from 1 species
GAUGAACGCUGGCGGCGUGCUUAACACAUGCAAGUCGAACGGUGAACACGGAGCUUGCUCUGUGGGAUCAGUGGCGAACGGGUGAGUAACACGUGAGCAACCCGCCCCUGACUCUGGGAUAAGCGCUGGAAACGGCGUCUAAUACUGGAUAUGUGACGUGACCGCAUGGUCUGCGUUUGGAAAGAUUUUUCGGUUGGGGAUGGGCUCGCGGCCUAUCAGCUUGUUGGUGAGGUAAUGGCUCACCAAGGCGUCGACGGGUAGCCGGCCUGAGAGGGUGACCGGCCACACUGGGACUGAGACACGGCCCAGACUCCUACGGGAGGCAGCAGUGGGGAAUAUUGCACAAUGGGCGCAAGCCUGAUGCAGCAACGCCGCGUGAGGGAUGACGGCCUUCGGGUUGUAAACCUCUUUUAGCAGGGAAGAAGCGAAAGUGACGGUACCUGCAGAAAAAGCGCCGGCUAACUACGUG